CGUAACAAGGUUUCCGUAGGUGAACCUGCGGAAGGAUCAUUACCGAGUGAGGGUUUCUCUGAAGCCCAACCUCCCACCCGUGUAUACCGUACCCUGUUGCUUCGGCGGGCCCGCCUCACGGCCGCCGGGGGACCUCGCGUCCCCGGGCCCGCGCCCGCCGAAGACCCCAACACGAACACUGUCUGAAAAGUGCAGUCUGAGUCGAUUGUUACCAAUCAGUCAAAACUUUCAACAAUGGAUCUCUUGGUUCCGGCAUCGAUGAAGAACGCAGCGAAAUGCGAUAACUAAUGUGAAUUGCAGAAUUCAGUGAAUCAUCGAGUCUUUGAACGCACAUUGCGCCCCCUGGUAUUCCGGGGGGCAUGCCUGUCCGAGCGUCAUUGCUGCCCUCAAGCACGGCUUGUGUGUUGGGCCCCGUCCCCGGUACCCCCGGGGACGGGCCCGAAAGGCAGCGGCGGCACCGCGUCCGGUCCUCGAGCGUAUGGGGCUUUGUCACCCGCUCUGCAGGCCCGGCCGGCGCCAGCCGACCAACCCAACCAUUUUUUACAGGUUGACCUCGGAUCAG
rnacentral:rRNA from 1 species